AGCCGAACGCGGGGGUCGAACCCGCAGCCUUGAGAUUAAGAGUCUCACGCUCUACCGAUUGAGCUAGCCCGGC
rnacentral:tRNA from 1 species